rnacentral:ncRNA from 1 species
UCUUAUCAAGAGAGGUGGAGGGACUGGCCCUUUGAAGCCUCGGCAACAGACUUAAUCUAAGUACUGUGCCAAUUCCAGCAAGCUAUUACGUUUGACAGAUAAGA